rnacentral:rRNA from 1 species
UACGUAGGGGGCAAGCGUUAUCCGGAUUUACUGGGUGUAAAGGGAGCGUAGACGGCUGUGCAAGUCUGAAGUGAAAGCCCGUGGCUCAACCGCGGAACUGCUUUGGAAACUGUAUAGCUUGAGUACUGGAGAGGCAGGCGGAAUUCCUAGUGUAGCGGUGAAAUGCGUAGAGAUCGGGAGGAACACCAGUGGCGAAGGCGGCCUACUGGGCUUUAACUGACGCUGAGGCACGAAAGCGUGGGUAGCGAACAGG